CUGAAGAAGCCUUACACCGGUAACCGGCGGAAAGUUUUGUUCUUGGAUGCUAAUACCGCAUACGCCCUACCACUGAAAGGUUUAGACUUCGGACCUUGCGCUUCGGACCUUGCGCUUUUUGAUGAGCCUAAGUCAGAUUAGCUAGUUGGUGGGGUAAAGGCCUACCAAGGCGACGAUCUGUAGCGGGUCUGAGAGGAUGAUCCGCCACACUGGGACUGAGACACGGCCCUGACUCCUACGGGAGGCAGCAGAGGGGAAUAUUGGACAAUGGGCGCAAGCCUGAUCCAGCCAUGCCGCGUGUGUGAAGAAGGCCUUUUGGUUGUAAAGCACUUUAAGCGAGGAGGAGGCUACCGAGAUUAAUACUCUUGGAUAGUGGACGUUACUCGCAGAAUAAGCACCGGCUAACUCUGUGCCAGCAGCCGCGGUAAUACAGAGGGUGCGAGCGUUAAUCGGAUUUACUGGGCGUAAAGCGUGCGUAGGCGGCUAUUUUAAGUCGGAUGUGAAAUCCCUGAGCUUAACUUAGGAAUUGCAUUCGAUACUGGGAAGCUAGAGUAUGGGAGAGGAUGGUAGAAUUCCAGGUGUAGCGGUGAAAUGCGUAGAGAUCUGGAGGAAUACCGAUGGCGAAGGCAGCCAUCUGGCCUAAUACUGACGCUGAGGUACGAAAGCAUGGGGAGCAAACAGGAUUAGAUACCCUGGUAGUCCAUGCCGUAAACGAUGUCUACUAGCCGUUGGGGCCUUUGAGGCUUUAGUGGCGCAGCUAACGCGAUAAGUAGACCGCCUGGGGAGUACGGUCGCAAGACUAAAACUCAAAUGAAUUGACGGGGGCCCGCACAAGCGGUGGAGCAUGUGGUUUAAUUCGAUGCAACGCGAAGAACCUUACCUGGUCUUGACAUAGUAAGAACUUUCCAGAGAUGGAUUGGUGCCUUCGGGAACUUACAUACAGGUGCUGCAUGGCUGUCGUCAGCUCGUGUCGUGAGAUGUUGGGUUAAGUCCCGCAACGAGCGCAACCCUUUUCCUUAUUUGCCAGCGGGUUAAGCCGGGAACUUUAAGGAUACUGCCAGUGACAAACUGGAGGAAGGCGGGGACGACGUCAAGUCAUCAUGGCCCUUACGACCAGGGCUACACACGUGCUACAAUGGUCGGUACAAAGGGUUGCUACCUAGCGAUAGGAUGCUAAUCUCAAAAAGCCGAUCGUAGUCCGGAUUGGAGUCUGCAACUCGACUCCAUGAAGUGGGUUUCGCCCG
rnacentral:rRNA from 1 species